GACGAACGCUGGCGGCGUGCUUAACACAUGCAAGUCGAACGGAAAGGCCCUGCUUUUGUGGGGUGCUCGAGUGGCGAACGGGUGAGUAACACGUGAGUAACCUGCCCUUGACUUUGGGAUAACUUCAGGAAACUGGGGCUAAUACCGGAUAGGAGCUCCUGCUGCAUGGUGGGGGUUGGAAAGUUUCGGCGGUUGGGGAUGGACUCGCGGCUUAUCGGCUUGUUGGUGGGGUAGUGGCUUACCAAGGCUUUGACGGGUAGCCGGCCUGAGAGGUUGACCGGCCACAUUGGGACUGAGAUACGGACCAGACUCCUACGGGAGGCAGCAGUGGGGAAUAUUGCACAAUGGGCGGAAGCCUGAUGCAGCAACGCCGCGUGCGGGAUGACGGCCUGCGGGUUGUAAACCGCUUUCGCCUGUGACGAAGCGUGAGUGACGGUAAUGGGUAAAGAAGCACCGGCUAACUACGUG
rnacentral:rRNA from 1 species